rnacentral:rRNA from 1 species
CACGUAGGGUGCAAGCGUUGUCCGGAAUUAUUGGGCGUAAAGGGCUCGUAGGCGGUCCGUCACGUCGGGAGUGAAAACUCGGGGCUCAACCCCGAGCCUGCUUCCGAUACGGGCGGACUAGAGGUAGGUAGGGGAGAACGGAAUUCCUGGUGUAGCGGUGGAAUGCGCAGAUAUCAGGAGGAACACCGGUGGCGAAGGCGGUUCUCUGGGCCUUACCUGACGCUGAGGAGCGAAAGCGUGGGGAGCGAACAGG